rnacentral:rRNA from 1 species
UACGGGGGGGGGUAAGCGUUGUUCGGAAUUACUGGGCGUAAAGGGCUCGUAGGCGGCCAACUAAGUCAUACGUGAAAUCCCUCAGCUUAACCGGGGAACUGCGUCUGAUACUGGAUGGCUUGAGUUUGGGAGAGGGAUGCAGAAUUCCAGGUGUAGCGGUGAAAUGCGUAGAUAUCUGGAGGAAUACCGGUGGCGAAGGCGGCAUCCUGGACCGGCAUUGACGCUGAUGAGCGAAAGCUAGGGGAGCAAACGGGG